rnacentral:lncRNA from 1 species
GCUAGACAUUUAUUACAAACACAAAUCAAAAGUAGGGAAAACAGAUGGUAGAUACAAUAAGCUUCUGAAGUCAGAACAUAUGAAGUGCAGAUGACUGUGCCAUUCAAUGCUAUAUUUGGUAGCAGAAGAAAUAGAUCUGAGCUCUAAUUAUUAAACAUUAGCUAUACUUGUUAUCUAAUCAGCUCGUCGAAACAUAAAUUCCUUCAGUCAGAUUAUGAUACUGCAUUAUUUGAGAUUAGCUAGAGUAGUUACCCUCUUCUCUCUGGCCAAGAAGACAUGGCCAAACUUGCCCCUCCCAAGUGCUUUCCCAGGCCUUAUUUGCUAGCCAAAAUAGAGUUAAGAAUGAUUGCAUUACUGCGCCUUCCAGGGCUUUGUGAAGCAUUCCAGAGUACUCUUUGUUUUCCAACCCCUG